rnacentral:rRNA from 1 species
GAUUCUGGCUCAGGAUGAACGCUAGCUACAGGCUUAACACAUGCAAGUCGAGGGGCAGCAUUGGGGUAGCAAUACUCAGAUGGCGACCGGCGCACGGGUGAGUAACACGUAUCCAACCUGCCGCUUACUCGGGGAUAGCCUUUCGAAAGAAAGAUUAAUACCCGAUGGUAUAAAGAGUUCGCAUGUUCUCUUAUUAAAGAAUUUCGGUAAGCGAUGGGGAUGCGUUCCAUUAGAUAGUUGGCGGGGUAACGGCCCACCAAGUCUACGAUGGAUAGGGGUUCUGAGAGGAAGGUCCCCCACAUUGGAACUGAGACACGGUCCAAACUCCUACGGGAGGCAGCAGUGAGGAAUAUUGGUCAAUGGACGAGAGUCUGAACCAGCCAAAAGUAGCGUGAAGGAUGACUGCCCUAUGGGUUGUAAACUUCUUUUAUAAGGGAAUAAAGUGAGGGACGUGUCCCUUUUUGUAUGUACCUUAUGAAUAAGGAUCGGCUAACUCCGUGCCAGCCGCCGC